rnacentral:RNase_P_RNA from 1 species
UUAUUCAGAUAAUCGCGGUUUACGAAAAAAUGUAAGCUGAGGAAAGUCCAUGCUCGCACAAGCUGCGAUGCUUGUAGUGUUCGUGCUAGCUGAAAAAAUAAGGCUAGGUAUCUUUAAAGUCUAACUGUCAGGCUCUUAAGUGAUUAUAAAAAGAUUUUUAGAUAACGGCAGGAAGACAAUACUAAGGUUUUUAAACUAUGUAUCAGUAUCCUUGAAAGUGCCACAGUGACGAAGCAUUUAAAGAAAUUUAAAUGGUGGAACGCGGUAAACCCCUCGAGCGAGCAACCCAAACUUUAUGGUGGGGGCAUCUUUUAAAGCGGAAAUGAACGCAAAAAAGAGUAGUUUUUGCGUUUAAAACAAAGAAACUACAGAUAAAUGAUUAUCGCUUAUCUUUUGCUCUUGAAAUUAGAUAAGUACAGAACAUGGCUUAUAGAA